GCACGCAUCGCGGGCACUCAGGCAGGGAAAAGUUUGAUUCUCACAGGUGUUGUGGAAUCAAAGAAAGAGCAUGACAGGGAAAUGCUUGAUAAAUUGGAAGCUGGGAUGGAUGAAUUUGAACAGAUCAUUUUGGGCAUGAGUAAGGAUAAAAUUGCACCUAAACAGAAGGAAUUGCUCUCAUACGUCGGAGGGUGAGCACUAACCACACAACCUGUUCCAAAACAUUUUUAUACACUCCUGCUUAAGUGAAGCAGUUUUUUCCACUCCAUGUGUUUCUUACAAUUAAGUUCCACGCAUCCAGUUCGUUGGUUUCUAAUCUCAUUUACUUAGUGCCAUGAAAGUUAUUCACCGAUAUCUAAUAGAUCGUUUUACGUAUAUUUUAUUAUUUGAUAGUGAAAGUAAGGAAGUGUCCAUAGACCUUCCAAAAUAUUGUUCCAUAGGAGUCCUAAAUGAGGUUGGGCAUUUGGUACAGAAUGUGUUGUUUCCAGCCCGAGUUUCGUAGUAAAUGACAAGAUGCAGGAACUACCUUGUUAGUUUGAGUGCAUUUGCAUUCUUGUUUUCGGAGCUAGUACAAAAUUAAUCAGACUCAAGACGAUAACAUUGUCGAGUUAGAACGAAGGCUAGAUAAUGCGUGGUAUGCCGUUGGAGUAAGAAUUCAUGAACUUCUUUGCCACAGAGAUAAAGUACUCUUAUCAUUUUUGUUUUAUUUUUCUUUAGUUAAUCUUUGUCCCUUUUGGAAGCAGUGUGUGAAUGGUGCAUCUUCAACUUGUUAAAGUAUCACUAAUGAUGAAAACACUAUACUAGGAAAACAAAGGAUAACUCACUUACCGAUAGUAUUUAGAGAAUUAGAGAUCAUAUUGUUAACUUGAUUUGGAAUAAGUAGUACUUGUUGGUGGCAUACUCUGGGUUGUAGUGGCAUUAGGACUACUUGGUAUCAGCGCUCCAUUAAAUUGUAUACAUGUUUAAAUUCUUUGUUUCAAAGUUUAAGCCCUCAUUCUAAACCUUGACUCUGUCAAGUCCCAGACAUUUUUCUGCUAGUUCUUUUAUAACUGUUGCUGGCGUGUCGGCAUGUUUUUAAAUUGUACUACUACC